rnacentral:rRNA from 1 species
AGUGAACGCUGGCGGUAGGCCUAACACAUGCAAGUCGAACGGCAGCACAGAGGAGCUUGCUCCUUAGGUGGCGCGUGGCGGACGGGUGAGGAAUACAUCGGAAUCUACUCUGUCGUGAGGGAUAACGUAGGGAAACUUACGCUAAUACCGCAUACGACCUACGGGUGAAAGCAGGGGACCUUCGGGCCUUGCGCGAUUGAAUGAGCCGGUGUCGGAUUAGCUAGUUGGCGGGGUAAAGGCCCACCAAGGCGACGGUCCGUAGCUGGUCUGAGAGGAUGAUCAGCCACACUGGAACUGAGACACGGGCCAGACUCCUGCGGGAGGCAGCAGUGGGGAAUAUUGGACAAUGGGCGCAAGCCUGAUCCAGCCAUACCGCGUGGGUGAAGAAGGCCUUCGGGUUGUAAAGCCCUUUUGUUGGGAAAGAAAUCCAGCUGGCUAAUACCCGGUUGGGAUGACGGUACCCAAAGAAUAAGCACCGGCUAACUUCGUGCCAGCCGCCGCCGUAA